AUCCAUCUCUGGUCAUUUUCCAGUUCAGUGUUUCUCCAGUUGAUGAUUACUGUCCUGUCACAGAUAAUGCAACACAAUGUACACAGAAAUGAAGGCAUCGUUCAUAACAAGCCUCUCUAAUGUGGUUUAGUGUGAUCAAUCUGUUCAACUUUUGUCUUUUUAAACAGAAAGAAGGUGUGAAUAUUGCAAAGCAGGAUGGGUAUACUAUCAAUCAAGCUGUUACCUAUUCUACUAUCGUGAGAACUGGAAAACUUGGGGCCAAAGUAAAACUGAUUGCACUAACAGGGGGUCUCAUCUGGUGAUCAUAGACACAGCAGAGGAACAGGCCUUCAUUAAUAAUCACACAACAUAUUACCUUGACAAAUGGCAUGGAUACUGGAUUGGACUGAG